UACGUAGGGACCAAGCGUUGUUCGGAUUUACUGGGCGUAAAGGGCGCGUAGGCGGCAAUUCAAGUCAGCUGUGAAAUCUCCGGGCUUAACUCGGAACGGUCAGCUGAUACUGCUUUGCUAGAGUACAGAAGGGCAAUCGGGAAUUCUUGGUGUAGCGGUGAAAUGCGUAGAUAUCAAGAGGAACACCUGAGGUGAAGACGGCUGCUGG
rnacentral:rRNA from 1 species